UAUACAGUGCCGCCCUCAGCCACACGCCAGGGUGCCAGACGUCCCAAGGCUUCAUAAACUCCAUGUUUUUGGAGCUGGGUUCUUACUUAGAUGUCUGAAGAGCCUGAUAAGCAUGCAGUGUUUAGUCUGAGGCAUUAAGAGAUACCAUCCUGAGAUAGCUUUUUACAUGGUCUAUAUGUAUGGAUGUCCUAAGGAACUCUUGUGAGGACACCAGUCACAUUGGAUCAGGAUUGUCCCUAAUCACUUCAUUUAACAUGAAUAAACUUGUGGUGGAGACAAGUUGGCUGAGCUGCCUAAUUUGCACGUGGGAAACAUGAGUCUGGAUGGUUCAAAGUCAGAUCCAUACUUGGAAUUUGUGGGAGAAGUGGAAACAGAAGCUGUGCCCAUCUGCUCCUAGCCAAUACUGUCCUGUCCUGGAGGAGUAUCCUUAGUUGUGCCAUCCUGUCUCUCAGAAAUGUGGUGGGGUCUGCAUCCAGGAUUUUGGACAUGCUAGGCAAUUUCUCUACCAUUGAGUUACAUCCUAAACUAAAGAGAUCUCUUUAAAGGAAAGAACAUGAAGCUAUAGUGCUGAGGGCAGGAACAAUUGCCAUUUCUCAGAAUACAACUCUGAAUUGAGAAGAAAUUGAGAGUUCAGUGAAUUUUGAAGAACAAAUCAAAUCUGAACUAAACAGAGACAAACUGAAGAAAGCUCAUCAAAAACCAAUUAUUUGAGCCUUGUUGAGUCUUACUCUGAGAAGAUAAACAUUUGUAGAUUGUAAGCCAGUCAUGCAAUGUCUUCAUGAUAUCCUCUGGAAAGGACAUGGCAGCAGCUGUUUUAGGGGUCCUCAUUUGAAGAGACAAAAGGGAGGCCUGAAGAAAGGAACUGCUUGCCUGAAUUUGUCAAAGAGCAAGGAGGAGGUUGACACUCACCGUGCGUCAUGUCAUACAUGGUCUACAAUAACUGCAUCAGGGCAGCGCCCUGGGUCACCCUCAUUUUAGAGGUGACUCAAUUGAGGCUAAGGAACUUGCCCAGAGGUCAUAUGGUUAGUGUGUGAUCAGAGCUGACAAUUCAGCUCAGUCAGGCUCCUAAACCUAUUACCUUCACCAGCAAAGACACUUGAUCCUCCUCCCUGCUGCUGCUGGUGUGUUGGUGUGGGCUGGUACAACUCUUCAGGCAGUGCCGCAGCUCAGGUGGUUACUGACAGGACUUUGUGAUAGGAUGAGGUUCAUACUAUGGGGCCUAUAGGGAUGCUUCAGUGAGGAUGUUGAACUGAUGCCAGUGAUGACCCCCAGCUCAGCAAUAAUAACAGGGCCCUCUGAUCCCUUGUUCCUCCUGGCUUUUCUGUGCCAAUAUGGUAGCUCUUGGCUGUGGGUUAAGUGACGUGGAGAAUGCAGCUGUGUCAGUGCCUUUUCCUCACUUCCAAGGAUCUCUGUGAACAGCUGGUCCACAGCCUCAUUGCCCUUUUGGCUCCCUCUGCCUACUCAUAGUACAAUAGUUGUCCCAAAGUGGUUUCAUGUUCUGAAGUUUUAGCUGUCUGUGAUCAACUCAGGUAAAAAUUAUAUAAAUGAACAGCUGGCAGCCUAAAGCUACAUGUCUCUCUCCAUCUCAUCGUGUAGGCAUGGAUGCAUUGCAUCCCAAGGAGCCAGGCACAGUAUGGCAGGAGGAAGACCUUCUGAGACACCACAAUCAUGUAACAUUUAUUGUGCAUUGUAAAUAUUUCAUUUUAAUUAGUCGUAGAUAUUUCUCUUAUAGCACCCAACUUAUAAAUUAAAGCUGAUUGUAGUUAUGCAUGUAGAGGAAGGAGUAUAGUAUUUGUAUGGUCUGGUUUUAUCUAAGGUUUUAGAUAUCCAUGGAAGUUUUGGAAUGUACAUUAGGGAGCACAGCCCCACCCUGGCCGGAAGGAAAUUCUGAAAGUCAAAUGGUCUUAGCUGUACAUGAGAAUAGCCAAGUCCCCAACUAUUGUUAGCUCCAUGGAAGAGGCUGCUCAGUUGAGGCCUUUGAUGCUUGGGAAUUUGCCCAGAAGGUACUUUUAUUCCUCCCCACACACCACUACUCCUGCUACUCUUUUACUUAUUUGGAAUGUAAUUUUGUAGACAAUUCUUAAUGUCAUAAAGAUGAUAAAAUUAUCCAGACCACACUUUUCUCUUGUAGAAUUCCAAAUUUAACUUUUCUCAGUAUCCACUCAUUUCAUACUACAUAAUUUAAGGUUUUAACAGAUAUGAAACUUUUUCCUAAUUUUUUCUUGUGUUCUAUUCACUAUAUGUAUUUUCAUUCUCUAAAAUAGUCCAGUGGGUAGAGGUGGAAACAGAACUGGACAAGUGUGUGUGUGUGUGUGUGUGUGUAGACACAGAGUCUCUGAGAAGGUAUCUAUCAUAGGCCUCAUUGUGCUGAACUAAUGUUAGCUCUUGGUUCUAAGUUGUUGACAGAUAAGCACAUUAGCAGGACAAGAGAUGGCCGAACAAACAAGAGCAGGCUCAGUUAUGUGAAGAAAUAAAACAACUAAUUUCACAUGA